GACGAACGCUGGCGGCGUGCCUAAUACAUGCAAGUCGAACGCAGUGGGGACGGGUGAGUAACACGUUGGUAACCUCCCAUCAGAGGGGAUAACACUUGGAAACCGGUGCUAAACCGAUACUGAUGGAUGACCCCGCGGUGCAUUAGCUAGUUGGUGAGGUAACGGCCCACCAAGGCCCCGAUGCAUAGCCGAACUGAGAGGGGGAUCGGCCACACUGGAACUGAGAAAAGGCCCAGACUCCUACGGGAGGCAGCAGUAGGGAAGCUUCGGCAAGGGACGAAAGUCUGACCGAGCAACGCCGCGUGAGUGAAGAAGGUUUUCGGAUCGUAAAACUCUGUUGUUAGAGAAGCGGUAUCUAACCAGAAAGCCACGGCUAACUACGUGCCAGCAGCCGCGGUAAUUC
rnacentral:rRNA from 1 species